rnacentral:tRNA from 1 species
GGGCCAGUAGCUCAGUGGUAGAGCAGCUGACUCUUAAUCAGUAGGUCCGGGGUUCGAAUCCCCGCUGGCCCACCA